AUCCCUUCCCGUUAAGGGAACCUGCGGAAGGAUCAUUAAUG
rnacentral:rRNA from 1 species